AGAGUUUGAUCCUGGCUCAGAUUGAACGCUGGCGGCAUGCUUUACACAUGCAAGUCGAACGGCAGCACGGGGGCAACCCUGGUGGCGAGUGGCGAACGGGUGAGUAAUGCAUCGGAACGUAUCCUUGAGUGGGGGAUAACGCAGCGAAAGUUGUGCUAAUACCGCAUAAGCUCUGAGGAGGAAAGCGGGGGACCGAAAGGCCUCGCGCUGAAGGAGCGGCCGAUGUCCGAUUAGCUAGUUGGUGAGGUAAAGGCUUACCAAGGCGACGAUCGGUAGCUGGUCUGAGAGGAUGAUCAGCCACACUGGGACUGAGACACGGCCCAGACUCCUACGGGAGGCGAC
rnacentral:rRNA from 1 species